GGGGUGAAGUCGUAACAAGGUAGCCGUAGGGAACCUGCGCUGGAUCACCUCCUUUCUAGAG
rnacentral:rRNA from 1 species